rnacentral:misc_RNA from 1 species
UCUGACGGAGAUUUAUGG